CUCAUUAGUUGGUCGCUCGGUAGCAAGAGCCAGAGCACCUAGCGUGUCCAUGAUGAGAUUCACCCAAAGUAAUUGAACUGCUGUUAAGGGAACUUCACCAGCUGAAACUGCUGCAAUAAAGUUGAUUACUAGAGCUGCAACAUUAACGGUUAGUUGAAAUUGGAUGAAUUUCUGUAUAUUGUUAUAAACACAUCUCCCCCAUCUCAAAACCGUGGCCACAGAAUUGAAGUUGUCAUCCAAGAUGAUGAUAUCCGAGCUUUCUUUUGCCACCUCAGUUCCUUGGAUUCCCAUGGAAAGUCCUAUAUCAGCUUCUUUCAAUGCAGGUGCAUCAUUUGUACCAUCACCAGUGACUGCAACCACAUGACCUUUCUGCUUCAAACACUGUACCAUUAAAAGCUUGUCGAAUGGGGAGGACCUUGCCAUCACACGGAUGUUAUCAACCUUCUGCAUUCUUUCUGCGUCAGUGUAGUUUCGAAAUUCGGCUCCUUCUACAACUUGUCCAUCACUAGGUUGGUUCUCUUUCUUUAGUAUUCCACAUUCUGUAGCUAUAGCUUUUGCUGUGAAAAUAUUGUCUCCAGUUAUCAUUUUGAUGUCCACACCUGCAGCCUUGCAGACUCUCACAGCAUCGAUGACCCCUGGUCGACAUGGAUCUUUGAGACCAACUAUCCCCAGCAAGAUCAGCCCAUCUUCUUUGAGCCUUUGGUGAGUCUUGUCGUCAUCACUGUAUUCAAUUUCUUCCUCUGAAAUUUGUGCAUGAGCGAAAGCAAUGCAUCGGAGGCUACUAGCUGCCAUCCCUUGGAUAAUUUUCUGAAGGUUAGACCUUGUAUCUACAUCCAAGGGCUUUACAGUUCCAUUGGUAUCAUAAUACCUUGAGCAUGUUGCAACUAUCAUCUCAGCAGCUCCUUUCCAAUGCACAUGGAUGGUGUUGUCAUUUUUUUUCUUUAUAAGAACCCCACUUCGUUUCUUGUCUGAAUUAAAUGUUUCAACAUGGAGAAUGUCAUACCUGGGCUUCAGUUCUUCCAUGUCCAUACCCAAAUCUAAAACAACCCAAUAGAGUAUUGCCUUCUCUGUUGGGCUGCCGGAGAUUUCGGGUUUGGAUCCUGUAAGAGGUUUGAAAACACUCCCAGUUGUGUUCAAACCAACUCCUUGAUAGAACAACUCACGAACAUUUGGUGUGAUGGAUGAAUUAUCUUCUGCAAUAGAGUCUUGGCCUACCCAAAACUUAGUUACUUUCAUUUGGUUUAGUGUCAGAGUUCCUGUUUUGUCAGUGCAGAUAACGGUUGCUGACCCCAUUGUCUCACAAGCCGAUAGUUUUCUAACCAUUGCCUGAUCUUUCAUCAUUCUUUUCAUAGAGUAAGCUAGUGUUAGUGUGACAGCCAGUGGCAAGCCUUCAGGAAUUGCCACCACCACUAUAGUGACUGCAGCAGAUACAAUCCGCACUACUGCAUUCAACACAUCAUCUGUUUUUGUUUUGCUACCAAUAUACUCCUUAUUGCCAUUCUUAUCUUUUGUGUUGCCAGUGAAAUAACGAAUCAACAAGACUAGAAGAACUAAGAAAGCAACUGCAAGGCCUACCUUUCCAAUUGAAGAGGUAAGUUUGUCUAGCCGAGCUUGUAAUGGAGUUCUUACAUUUGAUUCCUGCGAAAUUGAGCUCAUCAUCUCGCCCCAUGCAGUGUUCAUCCCAACUGAUGUGACCAGCAUUCUACCAUAACCAUCAGCCACCUUUGCACCAGACAAGAGGAAGGGAUUCUUUGUAGAAUCAACUUCUACAUAGUCGCUCUCCCCGGUCAUGCUGGACUCGUCCACUUGAAAUGAGUAGCCA
rnacentral:lncRNA from 1 species